UCCCAUCAUCAACAUCACCAUCAUUUUUAUCAUUUGGUCAACGUGAACCAGAGCCAAUUCGAUUCGUAGCAUUGAGCAAUGGCUUAGUAUUAUGCUCCGCAACUUUGUAUUUUCAGAGUGUUUACUAUGUUGCAAUCCCCUCACAAUGCAUUGGGUUGAUCUUCCAACACCACCCACUUGCCAAGAAAGGGUAAACAAUGGAUUUGUUUGCAAGCUAUCUUAUUCUUUUGAUAGUUCUAGCUGCACAACUAGCUUCAGAGUGGUUCGAAUCCAUGAAUUCGAACCACCACAUUACCCACCACCACGUUCGGCCAAUCUCAAAUUGGAUAUUUUCUCUUCCGACACAUGGGAAUGGACAGAGAGCAUCUUAUCAACCCGGAGGCAUAAUUUUAUCAUGUCUUAUUACAUCUCUAAAGCUGUGGUUUGUGACGGAAUACUCCAUUGGAUGUACCUUUAUCAUUGCCGAAUUUUUGCCGAUGAUCCAUUCAACAACACUGACCAAUUUCAUACCAUAGAACUGCCCAGCCACUUAGGACAACUCUUCCUAGGAGAGUGCCGAGGACACCUCAGGUUUAUUCAAAAUGAGGUUCCCACUCUCAGCAUUUGGGAGCUCAAGGACUACAAUGGGCUCGAAUGGUCCUUGGUGCACAAGGUUGAUCUCGAAAUGAUGGGAUCAGAAGAUGGUUGCCAGAUUCCUAGAAAUGCAGGCUUCUUCUAUGUGUCAAUACUACCUAUUGAUUCUAUUGAUGGAGACAUUAUAUAUCUACAUACUCUUUGUCGCAUUAUACUCUGCAACAUGAGGAACAAAACUUUGAAAGUAAGUACAUUCGCUUGACACCAUUUGUAGAGUGGAUGACUCGAUUGCCUUUCCCUUUGUGCUCAAAUGGUGGCCUACAUCAGUUCCUCAAUUCCAACGGAAUGCACUCGAAACUGAUGGACGAAGCAUCCAAGUGUCGGAACCCAGAAUAAAUAGGCAGGCUGAAAAUGAUCCUCUUAAUCCUCAACAGGAGGCUGCUGCUGAGGAACCUACUCGACACCUACUUGUAGAUGAGGGAGAUUUUAAAAGUCGCGAACUUCAAAUUGGAGAAGAGAAACACUAACACAAUGUCCUCUGGGAUCGCACCAAGUAGUUUAUAAAGAAACAACUCGAGGUCAUAAGGAGGGAACAAGUACACAAGCUCAAGUUCCAUCAUAGACCUUGAUCGAAGCAGAUAUUGAAAUCGGAUGGCUUGAAGACCAGUUGCAUCUGACCGAGAUGAAGAUGACAGAAGAACAACUUUGUGUUAGAAUGGAGAGGAUUCAUAAGGACAUAGUGAAUGUUGAGGAGGUGCCAUACGUCUGAAGGGGGAAUAUGCGACCACGAAGGAGAAUUUUGAUGCUAUGAAGGACGUUGAUGUGAAUCAACUUGGUUCUAGAUAGCUUUAGGUUAUUGUUUGUGAUGUCAAGAUAAUGACUUGAGACUCUGUUUGAUCAAAUGAAAGAACACAAUAUUUGUAUGUUGCUAAUAUUAUAUUGAA